UUCCCCCGCUCUGAUUGGGCGCGCCGCUGGGCGCUGAUUGGUUGUUAAAGUAGGCGCCCGAUUGGGUGUUGCGAGGGGGGAAGGAGCCAAUCGGCGGCGGGCGGUCGCUCUGCGCGCUGAUUGGCCGAAACGGGGCAGGGUUUGGAUCCUACCCUUUGUUGCGAAGCUCCACAAUGGGAAGUCAAUUGGAGCGGGGCGAGCGGCGGCCGCGCCGCGGGAUCCUCCGGGCAACCCCCGGCCGGGCCCGGCCGACCCCGCCGCCAACCGCCCUCCCCGCGGCCGGAACUGCGGAGCCGCCCGGCGGGGGCUGCGAGUGGCCGCGGGGUCCUCCCCGCCUCCGCCUGCGCUCCCCCGGGAGCCGCCGGUGGUGCGGCCGCUCGACCCCCGCGCUCGGGGGUGUCGGUGGGAAGCCCCUGGCAGGGGACGGGGGUCUGGCGGCGCCUCCGGUGUUUCUAGCCUGGAGGCUCUGGAGGCAGGUCCCUGCCCCCCACGGGAAGGGUUCCAGGAUCAGGAAGAACAGGUCCCAAAUGCCCUGCAGUCGUAGCACGUAGAGAACAUACACGGUACACAAACAGACGCUCCCAAAGGUGUCUGUGAGCUUCCCAAACUGGAGCACAGCUGGAAUCGCCCGGGUUUUGCAUCCUCAGGCUCUGGGGUCAGCGCUGGCGUGGUGGGCAGAGCUGGGAUUGCUGGGAAAACGUGUUGGGAAUGUGUUGGGAGCAUGUCCUGCUCCUCCACCCGCUCGGUCGCUUGGGCAAACACACCAAUAUGGUGCGACAGGAUCACCACGUGAGCCCAGGCUGUCGUCUCCCACCCAUCUCCUCCUGUCUUCAUUUUCCAGGUUCGUGGCUGACAGUGAUUCUGGAUCGGGUGUGUGUGGAGAUAUACACACAUAUUGACUUUGGAAAAGUCCUGCUUGACCAGGAGCUGUGUCAUCACAGUGCUCCAGCCUCCCGUGGAGGGUGGUUGGAUGAAUAACAAGGUACUGGUAUCCUGUGACUUAAUUCCUGCGAAUGCCUGGGAAUGAGCUACUAAACCACCCCAGCACAAGCCUGCCCGCAGCAGAUGCUGAAUCAGAGUAAUUAAGAAUUAAAAAAGGUGAUUUCCCUCCCCAAACAGCCGCAGAGGCCUCAAAGUUUAUUAUUAACGUGUCCACCCUGCGUGUGCUGGCACAAAAAGAGGUGUUUGCCCGAUAAAUCCCGUGUGCCCUUUCCCACAGC